ensembl:snRNA U6 U6 spliceosomal RNA
GUGCUCGCUUCGGCAGCACAUAUACUAAAAUUGGAAUGAUACAGAGAAGAUUAGAAAGGUGGGAUGCAUGUUCUUUAAAUAAAUGUUUAUGUAUAUA